UACAGAGGUCCCAAGCGUUGUUCGGAUUCAUUGGGCGUAAAGGGCGCGUAGGCGGCGGGGUAAGUCGGGUGUGAAAUCUCAGAGCUCAACUCUGAAACUGCACUCGAUACUGCUCUGCUUGAGGACUGGAGAGGAGACUGGAAUUCACGGUGUAGCAGUGAAAUGACGUAGAUAUCGUGAGGAAGACCAGUGGCGAAGGCGGGUCUCUGGACAGUUCCUG
rnacentral:rRNA from 1 species